rnacentral:misc_RNA from 1 species
AAAAAAAAAAAAAAAAAAGACUCCUGAUUUGUGUAGUGGUAGCCUCAAUUUUAGUGCAAGCUGAUGCCAAACAUUCUGAGUUGUUCCAUUCAUGACUUCUUAUUUAGAGAGUUCUCUUAGAUCCAAAUAAAUCGGGCAAAUGCUUAAUUAAUUAGGUGAUUAGUUAUUAAUUCCAAUGUGCAAAAACACAGAGACUAAUCAUUAGUUCAAUGUUUAAAUUGAUCAAACAUGACUGAGGAAAAAUAAAUUUGUGAUCUAGGAUUUAGGAAUGGCAAAUUCUUUUCAUGAGUCAUUAAAUGUAGGAUGAUGGUGAUAUAAAAGAUCUAACUGAUAGAACAUAGAAGUAAUGCCCCAAUUUUAUUAUCCACUUAUUUGUGAGUUAGAAACUUGAAAAUACUCUCCUAGAGGCUAGAGCAUGAAACAUGGUGAAUAGUAUAAUGCCAUUGUCUACAAACAGAAAACAAGGAAGAAUAGUUUUCCUUGGAGGGAGCCUGUUACACGUCUGCUAAAGCCUUCCUUUUAUUCUGUUAUUUCCCAUGUUAUUAGAAGUAUUAGCCACUUGAAUUCUGAUUUUUGUGUUACAUCAUGGCUGUUCAAAUUUUGAAAUUUCUGAUUGUAAUGCUUGACAAUGAUCCCUCUACAACCUCCAAAUACAUUCAUUUAAGUUGCCUUAAUAAAUCGAUGGAUAUGAAGAACUUCACUUGUUGAAAAUUGGGCUAGUUUUUUUUUGGAAAUGUUUUCUUAAAAAAACUGUAAAAUAGAGUUUCGUAUUUACAUGUACCAGUUUCCAAAUGAAGAACUGGAAAACUAGUUUUUUAGUUUUUGAAAUCUAAGUAAGAUUUGGAAAAUAGUUUUAAGUUCUUUUCCAUUGUUUCCCUUUAUAACAAAAGUUUAGUUUUUUAACUAUUUUUCAAAUUGAAAAUAAUAUUUUUU